UGGUUUCUUUUCACAGGGCGAGCACUGCCCUGAGUGACAAUGAUGGAUGAAGAUUGAGUGGCUGGUAAUGAUGAUGUCCUCUGCCGCUCUCUUACCUCAUAAAACUAUUACAUUUCUUGGAACGUCAUUGUACGACAGAGUAGCCAGCUAAACAGCCGAGCCCUCAGCGUGCGCCUCCCGCCGGACAAGGGACCCUACAUCCAACACUACCUCAUUGAGAUCCACAACGAAGGCUCCUCCUACUCACUCCAAGCUUCUGAAAACCGCUUCGACACCCUUCCUUCGCUCAUCACCUAUUAUUCUCAGUGCUGCGAAGAGUUGCUGGCUCAGCUCAAGCUUCCUCGCACCGUCCAGGAGGCCAAGACCCGCCAUGAACUCGGCUCUCUCUCGCUGCUCGGACAAGGUGAGCAUCAAACACUUACGUGGUCGUGAAAUGUAAUUGAAGUGUAAUGAGCGAGAGGAGGAUUCUCCACUUCAAUGGUGGAAUGACCUCUGCCUUUCUACGAAUGUGUGGGUAGUUUGAUGGCCCGGGAAGUUAAUAAUCCUUGACUGCAAUGCCUCAUUCAUGACAUCUGCUUACCCCAGUGAAUGUCCACGAUGUCACCACUACGAUGGCCAGUUAUAAGACUGCCAUAGCGACUGAGUUGGUGCAAAAAGUAUCCCCUACCUGGCGGACAGUACCUCCUUGCCCACGAGAUCAUCCCUUUCAUUCUGUGUAA